UUUGCCUGGCGGCCGUAGCGCGGUGGUCCCACCUGACCCCAUGCCGAACUCAGAAGUGAAACGCCGUAGCGCCGAUGGUAGUGUGGGGUCUCCCCA
rnacentral:rRNA from 1 species